ACAAGAGCAUGGACCAGCACCUUAGCCGCAUCUCUUUGAAUAAUAACAGCAAAAAGAAAAUAAAUCCACUACCCAAUGUAUGCAGGACAGUAUGUGAAACCUACCUGUUGACAAUAUUCAUAUUUAACCCAUUCGUGGCUCUCUCAAUACGUUGCUGAGAUAUACAUUCAGAACAAACCACAAGGCAAUGGUUUAAUACCAUUUAGAUGUGACCACCCUAAAAACACAAGUUUUAACGGAACAUUAGAGCACAGAGUGAAGAGAAAGCCAUACAGAGGAGUCCUGGAAACCUUAAGAAAAUAAACUUGUUGUUAUGCCACAUUAUUGGGACAUUUCUAAAUAUUAUAACCUUUUUAUCUCUUUGAAGUGGUUGUAUUAAAAGAAGUUACUUGGUUCUUAUCCCAUGGGUCAGUGUUUAACUGUGAAUAAUCCAGAAAAUAAUCAGAUGAUAAUCCAGAAAAGUACAUAUUGAACUCACUUAUAUUUAAUUUUUCCAUGUACCAAGAACUGUGCAAAAGCAUGUCUUCUCAUUAGUUUCUCUUAGGAGAUCAAUAAGAUGAUAAAGGGAAGGUGAGAAAUAUCUUAGGACCUAUUCCACCUUGAAUGCUCAGUGAAAACACUUACUCUUGAUAAACUGUGCUGCUGACCAUUGAGGUAUAAAGAUGGCUGUCAUGGAGCAAGAGCAAGCCAGGAGGUGCACUGAACAGAGGGAUUAAAUUAUAUAUAUGUAUCACAGAAUUAUACACACAGAGGCCUUUAUUCAUGUGAGCAUUUAUUUUGAAUAAUAAUGAAAAAAUAAUGCCAGUGGAAAAGGGAGAGUUUGGAGGUUGGUGGAGAGUUGCUGUAGGUCAAGACAGAGGAGGUUUCUGCAAGACUGAGGUGCUGAGGGUGGUAUAAUUUGGGUAGUGGGUACUCAGAUGUCAAAGGUCAACAGAUAGUGGUCAGGUAGAGGAAAGGAAACAUUGGAGAGAUUAGAGAAGGUAUAGAGCUUGGUGAAGAUGAGAUCAAGAGUAUUUACCAAACCUAGAUUCCUCUCAUGCAACUGUCAUAAGGAAAAAAAAAGAAGAAAAAAAAGACACUAAGCCCUCAUGAAUACUAUUCUAGCAACCUACUUUUCUAUCUUUACUUUCUGUAUCACUUUACCCCACUCCC